GCCUGCCAUGCAGGAGCCAACUGUGGCCCUGAACCAUUGUCUGGCCUCUGUGCUUGUAGGCUGCUGGCAAUGAAGUGGGUUGCAUAGUG
rnacentral:snoRNA from 1 species